AGAGUUUGAUCAUGGCUCAGGACGAACGCUGGCGGCGUGCUUAACACAUGCAAGUCGAACGGUGAUCUUGGGAGCUUGCUCCUGGGUGAUCAGUGGCGAACGGGUGAGUAACACGUGAGUAACCUGCCCCGGACUCUGGGAUAACUUCGGGAAACCGGAGCUAAUACCGGAUAUGACCCUCGCCUGCAUGGGCUGGGGGUGGAAAGUUUUUCGGUCUGGGAUGGGCUCGCGGCCUAUCAGCUUGUUGGUGAGGUAGUGGCUCACCAAGGCGACGACGGGUAGCCGGCCUGAGAGGGCGACCGGCCACACUGGGACUGAGACACGGCCCAGACUCCUACGGGAGGCAGCAGUGGGGAAUAUUGCACAAUGGGCGCAAGCCUGAUGCAGCGACGCCGCGUGAGGGAUGACGGCCUUCGGGUUGUAAACCUCUUUCAGCAGGGAAGAAGCGUGAGUGACGGUACCUGCAGAAGAAGCACCGGCUAACUACGUGCCAGCAGCCGCGGUAAUAC
rnacentral:rRNA from 1 species